CACGUAGGGCGCGAGCGUUGUCCGGAAUUAUUGGGCGUAAAGAGCUCGUAGGCGGCCUGUUGCGUCCGCUGUGAAAGCCCGGGGCUUAACCCCGGGUCGGCAGUGGAUACGGGCAGGCUAGAGGUAGGUAGGGGAGAAUGGAAUUCCCGGUGUAGCGGUGAAAUGCGCAGAUAUCAGGAGGAACACCGGUGGCGAAGGCGGGUCUCUGGGCCGUUACUGACGCUGAGGAGCGAAAGCGUGGGGAGCGAACAGG
rnacentral:rRNA from 1 species